rnacentral:lncRNA from 1 species
GGCAUGGUGGAGCACGCCUUUAAUCCCAGCACUUGGUAGGCAGAGGCAGGCGGAUUUCUGAGUUCAAGGCCAGCCUGGUCUACAGAGUGAGUUCCAGGACAGCCAAGGCUACACAGAGAAACCCUGUCUCAAAAAACCAAAAAAAAAAAAAAAUUGUCCUUGGUUUUGCAAUGAUAAAUGAAAAUCAUUAAAAUUCUCCAAUUGAACAAGGCAUGCAAGGAUUUGGUGGUGUUGUGUUCUUUUGUUAAAACAAUGAGAGCAAAAUAACUUACUGAAAUAUAAAGAUGAGAGCUGAAUGAGCAUGCCACCAAUGGAGAAGGGGUAUUUUCACAGACCCAGUACUUUCCCCCAGACCAUCUCCAUCUGAUGCCAACCAGAACAGAACAUUGGCCAUUUCGUUUAAAAAAAGGAAAAGAAAGAGAGAGCACUAUGCGUGUGCACAUACACCAGUUACUUUUUGUACAAUAAAGAAAUGGGGACAGGGAAAUGAAAGAAGAGAAAACUAUACUGUGUAGUCAGGAUGUGGCGGGACCAAACUGUGGCUUUUUAAUUGAGAAUGUAUUCUUGGUCUAUAACAAAUUCUGGAGUAAAGUAGCAGGCUCCCUUUUUAAGUAGACACCUCCAGUCUGCUGCUGGAACACAUACAUCGAUCUUUAUUCUCCACUGAUUGGUUGCCCAUCGAACCGGAAUCUGAUCUGCCUCAUUGACAAACCCUGCCGUUCACAAUAGGCUUUCAUUAGUUUACUAAGUGGUAUAUGCCUCUUAACCUUACACUGCACCACAGAACCAUCCUGUCCUUCAAAUUAAUAUGAUCAUUGUUCUCAGUCUUGACUCCUUCCUUGGGUUUCUCGUCAGCCAUGGCAAGUGCAGGAGUCUCCUUGUGGCCUUCGCUGUCCUGGAACUCAGACAUUUUUCUGCCUCUGUCUUUGCCUCUGCCUCUGCCUCCCAAGUUGCUGGGAUUAAAGGCAAGCAUCACCACUUACUGCCUAGCAAGCAUGUCAGGGUUUUUUUUUGUUUUGUUUUUGUUUGUUUUUUUGAGACAGGGUUUCUCUGUAUAGCCCUGACUGUCCUGAAACUCACAAGCAUAUCAGGUUUAAUGGCAACUUUACAUAACAGUUUGUGUUUAUUAAAAAGUGAGAUUAGUCCCAGUCACCCCUAUUACCUCUGCAGCUGAGGAUUAAAGUACCAUCAGAGAUGCUUCAGGCUACUGGAUGGAAAGAGAAAGGGUUUUGUUUGUUUGUUCUCCUUAUGAAUAGCUUUAAAUGACUAAAAUUACUGUAAAAGUAGGUGUUGGUUUGCCUGUAGAUUCAGUGGCACUGAUUUUACAUAACUAAUAUGAUGAAUUACUGUAUCAAGUUCAGUACAAAGGUCUGUGAACUCUAAGCUAUUUCUCCAGCUACACUAAGUUGUUUUUGAGGAUACAUUCUACACUGUGUUAAUCAAAGGACUCUUUAUUCUGUGAAUUUCCCAUCUUGGCAUAAGGAAGCUUUGUGCUUUGAUGGGAGAAGGAAUAUUCUAUUGUUUGUUUUCUUUUUUCCAUUGUUACUUCACAUCUCUUUUAAUCUGAACUAGUGGAUUGUCUGAAGAACCAAACCGAGCCUAUUGUUAUUAACAUCUUUAAAAUGUUUAAUUUUAAUAAUUUUUCAUUGAAUUCAUGGAUUGUUGGGAUAAUGAAGUAUUUGUGAUGUGGAACAAAGGAAAUGAAAUUGGUACUCAGUGGGGAAGCAGGUUGCUUGGACUAAGCCAGGCAUGUUCAGUUUUGAGAAUUCUACCUAAAGGUCUCCCUGCCCACAGAGAAACUAGUGUUACUUGAAGACAUGAAAAUCCCUGUGGUAGCCAGACCUUGAAGCACAGUGUUGUAAUAAGUAAAUACCUGAUUCUAAAUUAAAUUCAGAUUUAACUAAUAUAUAUUAUUUUAUAACUUUGUUGUAUUAAAAUGUUUUAAACACUAAAAAAUAAAGCAUUUGAAAGUUGGU